rnacentral:lncRNA from 1 species
AUGGGGGAACUCUUUGGGCCCUAUGGAGAACUCUUCAGACCUUCUGGGGACUCUUCGGGCCCUUUGGGGACUCUUUGGGCCCUAUGGGGGAACUCUUUGGGCCCUCUGGAGAACUCUUCAGACCCUCUGGGGACUCUUCGGGCCCUUUGGGGACUCUUUGGGCCCUAUGGAGAACUCUUCAGACCCUCUGGGGACUCUUCGGGCCCUUUGGGGACUCUUUGGGCCCUCUGGGGACUCUUCGGGCCCUUUGGGGACUCUUUGGGCCCUAUGGAGAACUCUUCAGACCUUCUGGGGACUCUUCGGGCCCUUUGGGGACUCUUUGGGCCCUAUGGGGGAACUCUUUGGGCCCUCUGGAGAACUCUUCAGACCCUCUGGGGACUCUUCGGGCCCUUUGGGGACUCUUUGGGCCCUAUGGAGAACUCUUCAGACCCUCUGGGGACUCUUCGGGCCCUUUGGGGACUCUUUGGGCCCUAUGGGGGAACUCUUUGGGCCCUCUGGGGACUCUUCGGGCCCUUUGGGGACUCUUUGGGACCUAUGGGGGAACUCUUUGGGCCCUAUGGAGAACUCUUCAGAGUUCUGGGGACUCUUCGGGCCCUUUGGGGACUCUUUGGGCCCUAUGGAGAACUCUUCAGACCCUCUGGGGACUCUUCGGGCCCUUUGGGGACUCUUUGGGCCCUAUGGAGAACUCUUCAGACCCUCUGGGGACUCUUCAGACCCUCUGGAGACUCUUCGGGCCUGGUGAUCUUUGAAAACUUCUCAGAGCGUUGGGCUGCUUUGGGUGCUCCUGGCUUCCAGUUUCAAGAUGGAAAGGCCAACCUUACCUCCUGCAGGCUGCCGAUGGAAGAUUGGGAAAACUGGAGGAGCUGGCUGGCUCCGUCUUCCUCGACUGGAGGCCCUAGGGCCUUUCCUCCUUGGGGGAGACCUCAGACCUUUUCUCAUCCCCAGGGGAGAGUCCUUCCCUUCUCUAUAUUCUUUGAUGUAAACCUUCUUAAUGGUUUCUUGGCGAUUUGUUGGGAUGGUUUAUUGUGUAACUGCUCCAAGAUGGGGAGGGGGCCAAGCGCUGAAUCUCGAGCUUGGGGACACCAAGUUUCCCCCCCCAAAAUAACAAAGCCAUUAGAAACUAGGUGGAACCUGAUCCUCUUCCCCAAGAAGCAAUCUGUCAGGGAGCAGAGAUACCCCUCUGGCCCAGCCCAUCUUUCACAGGGCAGCAGGGCGUAG